rnacentral:rRNA from 1 species
GACGAACGCUGGCGGCGUGCCUAAUACAUGCAAGUAGAACGCUGAAGGAGGAGCUUGCUCUUCUGGAUGAGUUGCGAACGGGUGAGUAACGCGUAGGUAACCUGCCUGGUAGCGGGGGAUAACUAUUGGAAACGAUAGCUAAUACCGCAUAAGAGUAGAUGUUGCAUGACAUUUACUUAAAAGGUGCAAUUGCAUCACUACCAGAUGGACCUGCGUUGUAUUAGCUAGUUGGUGGGGUAACGGCUUACCAAGGCGACGAUACAUAGCCGACCUGAGAGGGUGAUAGGCCAGACUGGGACUGAGACACGGCCCAGACUCCUUCGGGAGGCAGCAGUAGGGAAUCUUCGGCAAUGGACGGAAGUCUGACCGAGCAACGCCGCGUGAGUGAAGAAGGGUUUCGGAUCGUAAAGCUCUGUUGUCAGAGAAGAACGAGUGUGAGAGUGGAAAGUUCACACUGUGACGGUAUCUUACCAGAAAGGGACGGCUAACUACGUG